GUGCACAAACACAUGCAGAUCAUGCUACACCACAGAGAGCUUGAGAAUGUCAAGGGCAGAGACGGUAGGCACUGUUGCAAAGUGGCCCCAAUGGGGCCUCGGUGAGGAGCUGCUGUCCGUGGUUAGGCAAAGGAACACAGAACUGCAGAAGACGGAGACAAAAGAAAAAGAUGAAGAAAAGGAAACAAAAGCACAGCUAAACCCGGAAAGUGGAAAGUUCGCUAGCAGCCAAAGGAACAGGCACUGAAUGUGAUACCGCAAGUAGCAAAACUAAAAGCACUGAAACCAGGCCAGAGAGAAGUCACAGAAGACAUUAUCACAGCCACCAAGUGGUAAGAUGGUAGAGAACAAGGCUUGCCAGGAGACAAGGAUGGCUGCACCGCAGUCAGCAGGGUAGACCUCAGUCUCCCUGGUUAGAGUUUAGGCAAGCCCCAGGUAGAACGUGGAUCUUUUUUUUUUUUACCUUUAUUUAACCAGGCAAGUCAGUUAAGAACAAAUUCUUAUUUUCAAUGACGGCCUAGGAACAGUGGGUUAACUGCCUGUUCAGGGGCAGAAUGACAGAUUUGUACCUUGUCAGCUCAGGGGUUUGAACUUGCGACAUUCUGGUUACUAGUCCAACACUCUAACCACUAGGCUACCCUGCCGCCCCAUCUAUAGUGAACAACACACAUGGCCCCAGCAAGUUUGCAGUGUCAACAAUCCUCCAAUGUCUGGCAAACC
rnacentral:lncRNA from 1 species